rnacentral:rRNA from 1 species
UACGAGGGGGGCAAGCGUUGUUCGGAAUUAUUGGGCGUAAAGGGCGCGUAGGCGGUGCGGUAAGUCUGAUGUGAAAUCUCCGGGCUCAACUCGGAGUCUGCAUCAGAAACUGCCGUGCUGGAGUGUGGGAGAGGUGCGUGGAAUUCCCGGUGUAGCGGUGAAAUGCGUAGAUAUCGGGAAGAACACCGGUGGCGAAGGCGGCUCUCUGGACCGAGACUGACGCUGAGGCGCGAAAGCGUGGGGAGCAAACAGG